GGCACUUAUAUGUGUUUUUCUCUUACUUCUGUGGACUAAAACCUAAAUGAACAGGUGCAAAACAUAAAUCCACUUUGGCAACCCAGAAAUCGUUGUUUGGUAUGAUUUUUGAUACAUUAAGGAAAGAAUACU
ensembl:snoRNA